rnacentral:lncRNA from 1 species
UGAUGCUCCAGCAAGAGACACGGUGACCUAGCUCCUCCUUGUUCUGUCUCUUUCAGUUUUCUGGCCAUUAUUAAAUGAGCAGCUUCUUCCACUACAUCGUACCUCUGGGAUGUAAACCUGCACUGCCAGAAUAGGAGGCACAGCCUGGUAAAUUUACUACAACACACUGAUCUGUGGAAUUAAAGAUAUUUUUAUGAAAUCCAUUGCCCCUGCCUACAUCCAACACAGAAUUCAACAGCUUUUUUGCUUUCUCUCGCUUCCAAAGAGUUGAUGGACACAACUUAGCUCGGAUGGUUGCCACAUCUGCUUAAAGGAAAAUAGAACCUGCAUUACUCAAGGGG